rnacentral:lncRNA from 1 species
AAAUAUGAAAAAAAGGGAUCAAGAUGAUACAAAUUAUGUGUCCCAUGCACGAAAGGUUGCCGUAAUUUUUGUUAAAUUGUCCCAAAAAAGGGAAUUCCAGAGCAAUCCCCAUGUCGAAAGUAAAUAAUUCUUAUACUAGUAUUUUGUACAAAGAUCACACUUUCGCCUCAUGCAAUAAUCAGGAAUUUUUAAAAUAAAUUCUUAUUAUUCGAGUUGAAUAGCAAUGUCCGACAUUUUGUCCCCUUCAAACCAAAUUAAACGUAGGGUUACGUUUUCUGUUUUUUCA